GAUGAGCAUGCGUCCCAUUAGCUAGUUGGUAAGGUAACGGCUUACCAAGGCUACGAUGGGUAGGGGUCCUGAGAGGGAGAUCCCCCACACUGGUACUGAGACACGGACCAGACUCCUACGGGAGGCAGCAGUGAGGAAUAUUGGACAAUGGGCGCAAGCCUGAUCCAGCCAUGCCGCGUGCAGGAUGACGGUCCUAUGGAUUGUAAACUGCUUUUGUACGGGAAGAAACACUCCUUCGUGAAGGAGCUUGACGGUACCGUAAGAAUAAGGAUCGGCUAACUCCGUGCCAGCAGCCGCGGUAAUACGGAGGAUCCAAGCGUUAUCCGGAAUCAUUGGGUUUAAAGGGUCCGUAGGCAGUUUAGUAAGUCAGUGGUGAAAGCCCAUCGCUCAACGGUGGAACGGCCAUUGAUACUGCUAGACUUGAAUUAUU
rnacentral:rRNA from 1 species